AUUGAACGCUGGCGGCAUGCCUUACACAUGCAAGUCGAACGGUAACAGGUUAAGCUGACGAGUGGCGAACGGGUGAGUAAUGUAUCGGAACGUGCCCAGUCGUGGGGGAUAACUACUCGAAAGAGUGGCUAAUACCGCAUACGACCUGAGGGUGAAAGCGGGGGACCGUAAGGCCUCGCGCGAUUGGAGCGGCCGAUAUCAGAUUAGCUGGUUGGUGGGGUAAAAGCCCACCAAGGCGACGAUCUGUAGCUGGUCUGAGUGGACGACUGACCACACUGGGAAUGAGACACGGCCCAGAAUCCUACGGGAGGCAGCAGGGGGGAAUUUUGGACAAUGGACGCAAGGGUGAUCGAGCAAUGCCGAGUGCGGGAAGAAGGCCUUGGGGUUGUAAACCGCUUUUGUCAGGGAAGAAACGAGUUUCUAUAAUACAGAGACUUAAUGACGGUACCUGAAGAAUAAGCACCGGCUAACUACGUGCCAGCCGCCGCCGUAAGAC
rnacentral:rRNA from 1 species